GGUUUGAGGGUGGUUUGUCUGCUACAUCUGUCACCCCAUUGAGGGCCAGGCUUGAUUCAUGUAAUCUGGCUGGCUAGUCGGGUGUCUCCUUCCUCCCUCACUACUCCAUGUGCAUCCUUCCAGACGGUGUACACUUAUUCAUAGAGGAGGACCUUGCCUGAAUGGAGGACUACAUGUCCUUUGUCAUGGGUAUAGAAGUAGGUUCAAUCCACUGCUAGAACCUCCACACACGCUCUCAAGAAUAUCUUUAUUGUGUGCCUUCACACAACCCUGUCUCUCAAGGCACUCCU
rnacentral:snRNA from 1 species